CUACGGGGGGCACCAGUGAGGAAUAUUGCACAAUGGGGGGAACCCUGAUGCAGCAACGCCGCGUGGAGGAUGACGCAUUUCGGUGUGUAAACUCCUUUUAUAUGUCAAGAAAAUGACGGUAGCAUAUGAAUAAGCACCGGCUAACUCCGUGCCAGCAGCCGCGGUAAUACGGAGGGUGCAAGCGUUACUCGGAAUCACUGGGCGUAAAGGACGCGUAGGCGGGUUGGAAAGUCAGGUGUGAAAUCCUACAGCUUAACUGUAGAACUGCACUUGAAACUUCUAAUCUAGAGUAUGGGAGGGGGAGAUGGAAUUAGCGGUGUAGGGGUAAAAUCCGUAGAUAUCACUAGGAAUACCUAAAGCGAAGGCGAUCUCCUGGAACAUUACUGACGCUAAGGCGUGAAAGCGUGGGGAGCAAACAGGGUUAGAUACCCUGGUAGUC
rnacentral:rRNA from 1 species